rnacentral:rRNA from 1 species
GCAAGUCGAGCGGCAGCACUUCGGGUGGCAAGCGGCGAACUGGUGAGUAAUACAUAGGAAUCUACCUAGCAGACUGGAAUAGCUUCUGGAAACAGAAAUUAAUGCCGGAUAUGCGCAUGGGUGAAAGUGGCGUUUGCCACACUGUUAGAUGAGCCUGUGUCCUAUUAGCUUGUUGGUGGGGUAAAGGCCUACCAAGGCGACAAUAGGUAGCCGGCCUGAGAGGGUGAUC